AUGAACGCUGGCGGCGUGCCUAAUACAUGCAAGUUGUGCGGUAACAGAGAGAGCUUGCUCUCUGCUGACGAGCGGCGGACGGCAGAGUAACGCGUAGGAACAUACCCCAAACUGAGGGAUAACUGCUCGAAAGAGUAGCUAAUACCGCAUGUGGUCUUCGGAUUAAAGCUUCGGCGGUUUGGGAGUGGCCUGCGUCCGAUUAGCUAGUUGGUGAGGUAAUUGCUCACCAAGGCGACGAUCGGUAGCUGGUCUGAGAGGAUGAUCAGCCUGACUGGAACUGAGAACGGUCCAGACUCCUACGGGAGGCAGCAGUAGGGAAUUUUCCACAACGGGCGAAAGCCUGGUGGAGCAACGCCGCGUGCAGGAUGAAUGCCUUCGGGUUGUAAACUGCUUUUCUGUGUGAAGAAUAUGACGGUAACACAGGAAUAAGGGUCGGCUAACUACGUG
rnacentral:rRNA from 1 species